rnacentral:rRNA from 1 species
GAUGAACGCUGGCGGCGUGCCUAAUACAUGCAAGUCGAGCGAACGGACGAGAAGCUUGCUUCUCUGAUGUUAGCGGCGGACGGGUGAGUAACACGUGGAUAACCUACCUAUAAGACUGGGAUAACUUCGGGAAACCGUAGCUAAUACCGGAUAAUAUUUUGAACAGCAUGGUUCACAAGUGAAAGACGGUCUUGCUGUCACUUAUAGAUGGAUCCGCGCUGCAUUAGCUAGUUGGUAAGGUAACGGCUUACCAAGGCAACGAUGCAUAGCCGACCUGAGAGGGUGAUCCGCCACACUGUAACUGAGACACGGCCCAGACUCCUACGGGAGGCAGCAGUAGGGAAUCUUCCGCAAUGGGCGAAAGCCUGACGGAGCAACGCCGCGUGAGUGAUGAAGGUCUUCGGAUCGUAAAACUCUGUUAUUAGGGAAGAACAUAUGUGUAAGUAACUGUGCACAUCUUGACGGUACCUAAUCAGAAAGCCACGGCUAACUACGUG